AAAGAGAGUAACUUUUAAAAAAAGCUUAACAAUCUCAAAGAUGAAGUUUAUGUGGCAGAUUUUUGCAAUAUUUUAUGGAACAUAUGGCUAUCAGCUCAUUCCCAGGAUUAAAGAAUGUGGAGUCACUUGUUCACAGGGAUUUCAUUGCAAACAUCAAUUUUCUAUGGAGGCUGCGAGCAGUUUCUGCCAUCCUGCGCCUGCCUCCCUUUCUCCAGUUAAUCUUAAAAACAUGAAACUUGGGACUACAAUGAAGUGUGAAGAUCACAGGCAUUGCUCUCUCCACUUAAGUGUCAUGGCAAACCUGCAACUUAACGGUAAAUCAGAUGAUUCCAUAGGAAAUGUGGAUAAUAACUG
rnacentral:lncRNA from 1 species